UACGUAGGGUGCGAGCGUUAAUCGGAAUUACUGGGCGUAAAGCGUGCGCAGGCGGUUUUGUAAGCCGGAUGUGAAAUCCCCGGGCUUAACCUGGGAAUGGCAUUCGGGACUGCAAGGCUGGAGUGCGGCAGAGGAGACUGGAAUUUACGGUGUAGCAGUGAAAUGCGUAGAGAUCGUAAGGAAGACCAGUGGCGAAGGCGGGUCUCUGGACAGUUCCUGACACUGAGGCACGAAGGCCAGGGGAGCAAACGGG
rnacentral:rRNA from 1 species